UACAGAGGUCUCAAGCGUUGUUCGGAUUCAUUGGGCGUACAGGGUGUGUAGGUGGCGCCGUCAGUCGGGUGUGAAAUUUCGGAGCUUAACUCCGAAACUGCAUUCGAUACUGCCGUGCUUGAGGACUGGAGAGGAGACUGGAAUUUACGGUGUAGCGGUGAAAUGCGUAGAUAUCGUAAGGAAGACCAGUGGCGAAGGCGGGGCUCUGGACAGUUCCUGACGCUGAGGCACGAAGGUCAGGGGAGCAAACGGG
rnacentral:rRNA from 1 species